UACGUAGGGGGCAAGCGUUGUCCGGAUUUAUUGGGCGUAAAGAGCUCGUAGGCGGUUUGUCGCGUCGGCUGUGAAAACUCGGGGCUCAACCCCGAGCCUGCAGUCGAUACGGGCAAACUAGAGUGUGGUAGGGGAGACUGGAAUUCCUGGUGUAGCGGUGAAAUGCGCAGAUAUCAGGAGGAACACCGGCGGCGAAGGCGGGUCUCUGGGCCAUAACUGACGCUGAGGAGCGAAAGCGUGGGGAGCGAACAGG
rnacentral:rRNA from 1 species